AGAGAGCAAAUCAAACCGACAAUUCAAAGUGAAGCCGAAAACCCUAAUUCGAAGGGAAGCUAAAACCAUCUGAAAUCUCUGAUUCUCGCCCGAACCAUGGAGAGAAUGAGACAGUGGAGGCGAGAAUCAGACAGUGGAGACCUUAGCCGAUCGUCGCCGUCACUUCGUAGGUACGCAGUGAGCACGUCGCAAGAGUUGGAGGGCUUACAUUGCAAGGAUGAUGACAGAUUUUCUAUUAAUUGUUCGUCAUAUUCUCCAUCUGGCAUGUUCCGACUUCAAUAGGAAAACCUCUCAAUUUUCAUUUGUUCGUGGUUUCAGGCUACGGUGGUUUGACAUCGAAGAGAAAUUUUGUGUAUCAUGUUUCGAUCUUUAUGAAACCCACACUCUUGUGUGUUUGAAAUUUCUGAUUCCAAGUUUUCAUUUUCACUCAACAAAGGCAAGUUAUUUUGUUGAUGAAGGAGCAAGUCCCCCUAGCCAUGAUUCCCAAAUUUGUUCAAGCCGAAAGUGGUUGGAAGAUGCCUUUAAGCAACAUACAGGCUCUCUGGAAGAGAAUGCACAAACUUUGAAGAGGAAUGCAAGCAAUAGCGGGAGAUGAAGAUGGGUAAAGAAAAUUGCUCAAAUAUCAUAUUGUUUUGACUUUGUUUUAAGUCAAAACUAACGAUCUUUUGCAAUGAUCUCAAGUAUUUAUGAGGAGUUGUUAAUCUGCUGGUUGCAUUCGGGAAUCCUUGGGGGGGGGGGGGGGGGGGGGGGGGGGGUCGAUCGGGAGUUAGCAGCUGGAGAGAAGCUACAGAGCUCCUAAAACUGAAUUCCAGCUGGUUGAAACAAAAUUCAACCCUGCAUCUCGUUACUAAAUAUUUAUUCUGUUAUCUGUAUGCGGUAUAUAGUUAAAUCAUGCCAUGCGUGAAGGGGCUCAACGCCAGUAAGUUAUGGGAGCUUAGGUGAAGGUGUAUCGUUUAAUGGAGUUUAUUUUCUCAUUGCUGGCAAUCUCGUCCUGGGAAUUGACAGGUGAGCUCUAUAUGUCUCUGGCGGACCCAAGUAGUU